rnacentral:rRNA from 1 species
AACCCUGUCCUUAGUUACCAGCACGUUAUGUGGGCGACUCUAAGGAGACUGCCGGUGACAAACCGGAGGAAGGUGGGGAGUGACGUCAAGUCAUCAUGGCCCUUACGGCCUGGGCUACACACGUGCUACAAUGGUCGGUACAAAGGGUUGCCAAGCCGCGAGGUGGAGCUAAUCCCAUAAAACCGAUCGUAGUCCGGAUCGCAGUCUGCAACUCGACUGCGUGAAGUCGGAAUCGCUAGUAAUCGUGAAUCAGAAUGUCACGGUGAAUACGUUCCCGGGCCUU